AUUUUUAUUCUAGUGGAUGAGUAACAAAUAAAGAAAAGGGUGAGACUAAAUAAAAGUUACAAUUUCUUUCUUUAUUUAAUACUUUAAAUGACAUUUAGACACAUUCUCUCCCAAGCUGCACAGAAAAACAACAACUUCAGUUCAACCAUUGACAUGUACUUCAGUGUAAGUCAAAAGUGCAUUCUGUGUAUGUAUAUGUGUAUGUAUUUUUAUCUGACAGUGAGGAAUUAUUUACAACUUUUAUUUAUAUAUUUAAUAUUUUAUUUUAAUUGGAUUUUUAAAACUCUUGUUUGGCAUCAGGCUAUGGCUUGAGGUCACAUAAAGUGCUUCCAGCCAAGCAUCUUAAUCUAUUUUUGAUACCUUCCAUUCCAAAUGUGAAAAGAAAUAAUCUACAUAUGCUCAGAUUUUCUUUUUCUUUUACCCUUGUUUUGUUGAAUCUACCGAAGUGGAAUUUAGUCAUUCUUUUCCAAAUUAUAGAAAAUAUUCAGAAAUUACUGAUAUAUCAAAGCUUCAUCCAUGGCGUUGCAUAGAUACUGGUCAGGAAUUAAACCAUCUGGACUGAUCUGACCUAGGGAAAGAGUAGCUGAGCUUUUAGAUCUCCACUUAAUUCCAUGCCUUCCAGUGAGAUUCACUUCUGUUUGUGCCUGUUUCUGCACCUUUGAAUUUACAAACCGUGGGCAUCCUUUAAAUGCAUCUGACUCAAGCCCAGUAGCCCCGAGGAAAAGCUUAGUACCCUGCAGUGCUGAGCUGGUCAACGUGACAUUUUUCAACAUCUGGUCUGGAACAUUUUAAGGACUAUAAGUAACUAGAUUAGCUUUUUCAUCCAACUUGCUUUUUGAUUUAUAUGCUGUGACAAAAUGUCCUCAGCAGGUUUUAUUUUUUUUUCUCCUGGUGAUCUGUACACACCAAAUAUACAGUAGGACUAAGUACUCCAGGUUGAUGACUGAACUAUGCCAUCCUGGGAAAGCAGAGGCUUUGUGUGCAACGAUUUCCUACAGCACAGGAGUGAAGAUGAGCGAGUGAACUGCAGCACCUCCAUCACCUGAGUCCCCACUGUCAGCCCACAAGGUAACAGCAAGGUGCUGCUCACGAUAAAAUCUGCAGAAAUAACUUCAGAUGCUCUAAAAGUGGUCAAUAUUUAUAAACCUAAAGAUAUAAAAAUAAAAUAAUACUUUUAGCAUAGAGAUUAUGUUGCUAAUGAUGCUGAGAUUGGUACCCUAGCACUGCAGUGAUGUUUAAUGUGGAAUGAGCUUGUGGUAUAACACCAGUGCUUUUCAGUAGUUUAAAAAUUAAAUUUUAAAUUAAAAAUGCUAGCAACGUAUGUCAAAUAAAUUUCAAGCAGUUUUUUGUUUAGAGGCCUAUAAUGCGAUCAAUGACUUACAGCUAGUUUCUGGGACAUCUUCACAGAUGAGGAAUUAUUGGUUGAGCACCAUGCACAUGUAUUGGGGAGUAAUACUUAUUAUAUAUAUAAAUAACUAUUACACAAGAUGUUAUUUCUUAAGUCUUCUUUGCCUCUAGUAUAAGCUGAAUUACAAACAACAAUGCAUAGGAAAAAGCAGGGAAGGAGGGGUAAUUGUCAUGCCAGGGCAAUCACUUACUAUGAGAAACCUAAAGUGACACCGUUAGAGGUGUAAAGGCAUGAAAAUUACAAGGAUGACAGUAGGAGAAUGACAUAGAAGGAAAAAAACACAAAACCUCACAGAAAUUUAGGCAAAAGAUUACAGAGCCGUAAGUGAAAGAUGAACGGUAGGGUUGCAAAUCUGAGUCUUUAGCAUCACAAAGGUUAAGGCACAGAGUGACAGGGGGAACUUCAGGUAUUUCGUGGGACAUUCAUUAUUCCUGAAAGAGAGAGACACAAUCAAUAGAAAAAUAAAGAGACCUCUUGUAACUUGACAAGGUUUUACAAGUUCCCUUAAUUGCUCUGUUUCUUCCCCUUGCAUCUUUCAGAGCAAUAAUAAUUCCUGGCUCUACAUACCAAAGACAAGAAGCCAGCUUGACAGCUUCAGAGGAAUUUGGAUUUCAAGUUAGAACUCCCCCAGGGGCAGCAAGAACUGCUGCAGGAAAGGGAGUAAAUAUUAGGUGUAUGGCAGAUAUGCCAACCACUGUUGUUGAUGGAUGUGGAAGUGUAACCUCUUUGAGGAUAUUUAGAACCAAAGUAAUGCUGUGCUUUUUAGGUCUUGCUGAGCCUGAGAUAAUUUCAUGGCCAUUGUCUGCUGUCAUGCAAACUGUCACUGAGUGAGUGAGUGUUCCAGAUGCUUGGUCAGCCAAAGUGCUAACUAAUUUUAUCCACUUCCGUGUCAGUGCUUUCCUUCCUGAAUUCUGGAGCAAUUAGAGAUACUGUCUCAACCAUGUUACCUCUGUCUUCAGUUUUAUCAUCCUCUUCUGUUCUACACACUUUUCACUGUUCUUUUUCAAAACUCAGCAAUUUCCUCCGCAGUCAAAGCCAAAGUUAUACAGCUGGGCCAUGUUAGUGGCUUUCCAUUAUUGGCACCCAGGUAACCAAGUCCCGGGACAGGUUACAGAAAGCUAAAGAGAGACCUAGAUUGUCUACCAUUUCAUGUUCCGCAUCAGCAUAAGAUAAAUGAAACAAGGAAUAGAAACUACAGCACAGACUUUACGGUAUGCUGAAAUUUCUCUCCAGAAAAUCUUUUAAAUGUUAUUUUAAAGAACUUCUGAGGUAAGUAGCUUGAGUUUUUCUUUGCUCCUGCCAAAUAUGAUUGUUGCUGUUACUCAGAUAGCUCUGUGCUUGUCAGAUGAUCCUGUAGUACAGGUGCAAAAUGUUUGAAAAGCUAAGGAAGAAUCCCUGCAAUGAGUUUGUCUUUACUUCUUGUUGACCAUUAUCCAUUCAUAAACACAAUGGCCCCUUGCAUUGUCCCUGCUCAGGCUAGAUCAUUAUAAAACUUACGGUAAUGUCUCUUAUUUUUCGAAAUUUUCUAUGGAAUUUAGCAAUAUUUUAAACCUUACAUAAACCCCAAAGUGUUUUGAAGGAAGAUCUAGAGAUCUCUAAUCUAAG
rnacentral:lncRNA from 1 species